CAGUAGCCACGGGAAUACAGAGGGUGCGAGCGUUAAUCGGAUUUACUGGGCGUAAAGCGUGCGUAGGCGGCUUCUUAAGUCGGAUGUGAAAUCCCUGAGCUUAACUUAGGAAUUGCAUUCGAUACUGGGAAGCUAGAGUAUGGGAGAGGAUGGUAGAAUUCCAGGUGUAGCGGUGAAAUGCGUAGAGAUCUGGAGGAAUACCGAUGGCGAAGGCAGCCAUCUGGCCUAAUACUGACGCUGAGGUACGAAAGCAUGGGGAGCAAACAGGAUUAGAUACCCGAGUAGUCCCUGUCUCUUAACA
rnacentral:rRNA from 1 species